CUUCCCACUCGACCCUAACAAAACUCGGCGAUUGGAUUCGUCCCGAACCGGCCGCCAUCCCUCGAUCUCCCGUGAGCGGCGCCACCACCCCAGAUCUCCGAUGUUGCCGCCCCCACCCCAGAUCUCCGGCCGGCCGUCCUCGCCGUGGCUGCCCUCACCGCGCCUUUCCGCGCCGCCCCAGACGAGGCCUUCACACUCCGCGCGGAUCUCGCCGUUGUCCAGGACGAGACCAAUACACGCCUUGAGGAGGCCGCCGGGAGAAGGCCCUCGGGCUCGCGGAUUCCACGUCGUCUCGCUCUUCAGGCAGAUGAGUGAAGCGCGUUCUCCGUCUCCCACUGCUGCCGCCCAAGACCCACGCAGCCUGGGACUUCCGCUGUCCCAAUGGUCCCCUGCAGCAGGUGCUCCAUCGAGAAGAGAUGAAGCAUCCUAAGUUGCCCCUGCAGUCGCGUGGUUACUGCAGCAGUGCAGCGGCGCCGUACGCACACAGUGCGGCAUGCUGCCUUCAGCAGCUCCAGCCUCCAGGCUCCAGGUCCUCUCUUCUCGAUGGAGCAACUGCUGCAGAGGAUUAUGCACUUGAGAUCACCAUAAUUACUACUCAACUGGCCGAGUACAGGGAUGAUUCCCAAGUCAGGGCAAAGCAACGGACCUGGAUUGAUCUUUCUUUAAACUGGCUUCCAGUUAUAUUCACAAGUGCUCAUUCAUCCUGUCACACGACCUGCAUGAUACGAAGAUUUGAGAGUCUAUUUCUGCACAUGUGAUUCCCAAGAAGCUAUUUCUGCAGCAAGGCCGGACGCUCUUCAACAUGCAUUGCAGAAGGGGCGGAUCAAGAACGAGAUAUUGUGCCGGGGCGUGUAGCCGAACCUACUGAUGCGGAGCCUCUGCAACGCCUAGCGGCACAAGGAGAGAUGAGUUAGGUUCAACUGUUAGAAAACUGCAAACCUCUCGAUCGGAGGAGACGACAUCAAAAAUAUUGGCGGAGGUCGAGGAGAUGGGACGAUCUUGUUAGCGGCUCGCUCGCGUCGCUCUCCCCUGCUGCGACGGCGCGCGACGGCUAUGGGAGUGAUGGGCUGAUGGCUUCGACCAGAUCAGGGUUACAGUGGGCAACGAACGUCCCGCACCCUGCCCUCGCCAGCGUCGUCCGAUGCGCCAGCCUCAUGGAACGCCAUGCCGAUGGCACCCUCGCGCUGGACGCCCGCCGGCGUCGUCGGAUACGAUGCCCUCGUGGAACAUCGUGCUGAAGAUGCAAGAAGGUGGGAAGGUUGUAUCACAACAUUAUUCAUCCUGGCCAUGCCGAGAGAGGCGCCCCAUAAAGACACAGCUAUCUUGAGAGCCACAACCUGGCGGAGCUCAUGGUCGACAUUGAGCCUGAGAAACUGAGGAGAAAAGACAGCGAUACAAUGAAGAAGCUGCCCGUUCCUGGCCGGAUCUCCGAUGACUUUGAGCUGUUUCAGAACAACGACCACCCACGACUCUAACCAACCACCGCUUGCUCCUUCCCUACGGCGGUCGUGGACUCGUGCACAGGGCGAGCGCCAGCUAGCAUAGUUUCCAGUACUACUAUGUGGACGCAGGAACAUGAGGUGUGUAUUUCUGCAACAGCCUAGCCAGGGCGGCAGAUGUCGCUGGCUUCAAAGUCCCAUGAAGCCAUGGUGUAUAUUUCUGGUGUGUAAUGGCAAGUUGAUGAUGUCGGUAACUCGCAUUCAGGGUGUUCGCGUUAACAUAUGAGACGUGGA